UGUGUUCUAUUUACAUAACUCUUGCUUAGGUUUCGAUUUUCAUCGACAAUCUAAGUUCUCAUAUGUUCCAUAAACGAUGGCUCGAGCUUGGUUUGGAUGAUUUGGAUUUGAUCUAGGUUUAUGCUUCUCUCGGCCAAGGGGAAGACGAUUGAGAAUAAGUUUCAGGAAGAGAAACAAUUUGAGAACUUGAGCUAUUAGAGGGAAGAGGGCAUCUACGACAGAAGGGUUAGAUUGUUAAAUUCAGUGAAAUUGAUACUGUAGAGCAGGCAGAGAAUGUUGUUGUCUCACAGGAGCAGGUUCUUGUUAGAAAAGUUAUUGAGCUGCAUGAUAAGUAUACGGAAUAUGUGAAUGAUUGUUUUGCAAACCACACUCUAUUUCACAAGGCCCUGAAAGAGGCUUUUGAGGUUUUCUGCAACAAACAAGUUUUUGGCUACUCUAGUGCAGAGCUGCUGGCUUCAUUCUGUGAUAAUAUUCUCAACAAGGGUGGGAAUGAAAAAUUAAAUGAUGAAGCCAUUGAGGACACAUUAGAUAAGGUGGCCUUCCUGUUUCUUUAAUAUCAAUUUCUGUUGCAUCUAUUGACUUGUCAUGGUAAUUUCUAACGUGUUCAUUUUAUUCCUGCAAGUAGUAAAGUUGCUUGCUUAUGUUAGUGAUAAAGACCUUUAUGCUCAAUUCUACAGGUAAGCUGUCUGCUUCCUUCAUAUGUUUCAAUUCUUUCUUGUAAAGGGAUUUUUUAGGUCCCUCCUCCUACUACUACUACUACUACUUUAUUACUAUAAAAUUUUUGUAUAUAAGAGGAAAUAACUAAACAGUGGAGUAGUGGGAUUUUGUUUCCAAAAUAAUGAUAAAGUUUAUAAAUUUUAAUUAUUAAAUUAUAAAUUUUUUCAUGUAUAAGUAACUAUUUUUGUGAAAUUUGUAAUUUUUCCUAUAUAUAAUAUGUAUAUAACUCCUCGUGUAGUGUGUGUUUACAUGUUUCCCAUGCGGGAAUUGCAAUUGAUAGUACAAAAUGGAUGAUAGUUUCAAGUUACAGAGUUCACAACUAGCCAUGAGCUAAUGUUUACCAGAAAGUCUAUUGUCCAAUAACAGUAUUAAGAAUAGAUCUAUGGUGUAGAUUCAAACUUGUUGAUGUGGAACCAUAGCAUGAAAAAAUCUUGCCAUUCAUCACAAAUAAGUCUUUUUGUCUGGGACUCUAGAACUGCUCAAUUUUUACACAUAUAUAUGAUAUAUGGUGGUGUGUGGGAGAGCCUGUGAGCCCUACUGGACUGCACACAUAUGCAACACAAACCCUACUUGUUAGUUGUUUGCAUUCAUAAUACCCAAAACUCAAUCAUGUACCGUAUUGUACCCUCUCUGACUUACUACGUACAUUUCAAGCUCAAAAAAGUUUAGAGAGAGGUAAAUUGAAUUCACACAAAAUUUUCACCCGGAUUUCUUAUUGGUAGAAGUCUGGUUUCUUACUGAUAAGAGUCUCAUUUCAGAAGAUUCAGGCAAAAAAUUUGUGUGAAUGAAUCAUUAAUAAACCUUCUCAUAUGAAGGUGGCGGGAUGGUGAGUUUAUUGCAAUUACUUUAUUGCCUCUUUUUUUUUUUUGGCGCUUUUAGUUUGUGCUUUAAUUGACAUUUCAUUGUUUUGCUAGUCAAUUACUUUAUUUGGGAAAUAUCUCUGGCAUCACAACGCAACAUCUAGAAUGGUUUCUAGGUUUGUGAUGCAGUAUCUUGUACAUCCAAUUUUAAUUGUGAUUCAAGCAAAGAAGAUUAUUUAUAGCCAAUGUGAAUAAGGUAACGCUACUCUGAAAUUACUAAAUAUAGAACAUUGACAGACCCUCUUGGUAAUCGUUGAUGGAUCAAUUCUUUGAGAUGUAUAUAUACAUGUGUGGUUUUAAUAUAAAAUUGUUCUCAACUAUCAAUUUUAGACCACAACUGCACUAGCAAAGGCUAUGAAGCCAUUUUGUUUAGUGUUUUCCCUCUUUUUCGAAGCAAAAUGUGAAACAGGAAAAGAAAAUAUGAUGAGAAACUAAUUCACUUUAGGCAUGAUUUAUUCUUUACCUUAGAGUUGAUUUGAUUCCAUUAGAUUCACUUCCAUUAAAGCACAAUUUAAUUUCUUAAAAACACAAAAAAGAAAAAAGGAAAAAUUAAAAAAAAAAUAGAAAUUAAACACCAAAUGCUAGAUGGAUCCUUUAAUUGAUUCUGUUGUUUGUCUUCUGAAUUUAUAUAAUGCUUGACUAAUGGGAUGUGGUGCAGUUCAACAUAGUUCAAUGCUACACAGAUAAAAGUUAAUUUGUUACCUAGACUUCAUCACACUUAGACAAACCACAAAUUCAAUCUAACCAAAACACUUCUAUAUACAUAUAUAGAUAUCGUUUACAUUGGUCGUGUAAUUUAUUUUAGCUGAUUCUGUUUCUCUCAUAUCUAUCAGCAACCAACUCCUUUUCUCUUUCCAUUAUUGUACCCUUUUGGUUGUUUUGUUUCGGUUCAAAACAUGAGUAAAGAAGAGUUAUUGAAGAUCCAAGUACCCUUUUAUAAAUGAUAUAUAUACUUAUAUACAUAUAUGAUCCUAGGGUAUAUAAAUUUGUCUGUAUGGGGAAUUUUGAAUUCAAUGCUUAUAUAAAUUUGUUUUUAAUGGAUAACUUCUCUUGUUUUCUAUUAAAUUUUUUUUCUUUACGAAAUUGCCAAGUCAAUUGAAUUCGAUUGAAUUUAGGAUUUGAUUUUAUACAAGUACCGUGGAUGAUUUUAUUACAUGGAUUCCAUUUGGUGACUUCGUUUGUUGUAUAAUUUAAUCCUCGUCUACAAAAUUAGGUACUAUAUUGUUUAGUUGUACACACAUGGAAGUUCUUAAUUGUGUACUUUGAUCAUAAUACUAUGUUCUGUUGCCAUUUCCAUUUUAAUUAUUCAUUGUUAUGUAACACUCUGCUUGGGUGCUGAGAACUCUAAAAGGAAAAGAGAGAGGGAAGGAAAAAGUUGACUAUUUUUUGAAUCUUCUCCAUCUCUUUUCUCUCCCUAUUUAUACACAUAUAUGUGUUGUGUAUCUGUGUUCUAAAUCCUUCUGAAAUUUAGGAAUUUAAAUGUAAAUCCUCGAUAUCAUUCAUAGAAAUUACAAUUCAUCCACCGUUUAUGAUUAAAUAAUAUUAUAUCUAUGGAGUUUGAGAGAUGAAAGGUCUAUUGUUGAACAUGGAGAAGAGAAAUGUUGCAAACCGGAGGGAGCAUCUGAUUUUACUACUUGCUAACAUCCAUAUCCGGAAAAUUCCUAAGCAAACAAAUGUGUUGCAGGUACGUAUGGCAUUCCAUACUUAAGCCUUUUUUUUUUUUUUAUAAUGAUUUGCUCUUAAAUUUGAAAUUUGAAUUCAUUUAUGGUGUUAGUUGGGAGAUGAAGUUAUCCAUGAACUGAUGCAGAAGUCUUUUAAGCCAAUUGUCUUGUUUUUAAUUUUUUUUUUUGUUUAUUUCUGUGCAUUUGUUCAUGUAGUGUCAAUAAGUUUAAAAGAUGCAAGAAGGCAUAUUAUUUGACAACAUUGUGAAGGAUUCAUUUCUAAAUAUUUGUCUCUCGCAUCGUUCAGGAAUAGACCGAAUUCAAACCAUGACAUUUAACAAAAUUUUGUUCAACAACGUUUACAACAUGCAUGUUCAGCUUACUAUAAUUUCUUGAUAAUGUCUAAUAAUGUUUUUAUUAUAUCCAAAAAACUUAUUUUGUUUUAAGUGCAGGCAUUGGGAGUACCACCUUAGCAGCCAUGGUGGAAAGUGAACUAAUAUUAUGUAGUAUGUCAUGAUCAGCUCAUGUUUGUAAAUAUUUUUAAUUUUUUGUUAUGUCAUAAAUUUUCAUUGGUCAAAUUUGUAUUUUUGUAAAAAUAUUUAUGGCUUAAUUGGUUCCAAUUUAUUUUGAAUGUUAAAG